rnacentral:lncRNA from 1 species
CCAUAGGCCAGAACUCUCAUGGAGCCUUUGCUGGACAUAGUGUCUGGGAUUGGAGGCGCGAGUUCCCAGCGUCUGGAAUCUGUCUUCAGGGUGCAGUGAACCACUCGGGCUCAGGCAGCAGUGGCAGGCGACAGAACAAGAGCAGUCAGAUUUUUUAACCAUUGUUAAAGGUUUCCAGUUCUGUGCCCUUCUGGAAGCAGUGUGGCCCCAGACUGACAACUGACCCUCAAAGAGGAAGGAAAGCCCUCACCUUGCUCCCCGACAAUACUGCAGUGCUGUUUCUCCUAACUUGUAACUGAUGCUUCCCUACUCUGUCCUUGGAGCUGAGAGAGGCUUUUGGAGAGCCUGGAUCUCUCGGCCUUCAGGAAAUGAUCUUCUUUCAAAGAAAACAAGGAGGACAGCCGCUCUCACUUAACAAACAAAAAAAGAGAGGGGUCAAGGCUCCCAGCAUAUGAUAUCCAAUUCAACUAGCAUAUUUAUUUAAAAGACUGCACCUUCUCCACUGAUCUGCAGUACCAUCUUCGUCUGAAAGUGUUCUUGAAUGCAUGUUUCUGAUAGCUCUGGAGACUGUGACAUCAAAAUAGAGAAAAAACUUCGAGGACUCAUGGAGAGCUGAAAUGUUCAUGAAUAUCAAGCAGAACAAGAAUUAACUGCAUGGACUAAACUAAUAGAAGUUUGAAGUAAUCUUUUUUAACUUUUUGCUUAAAAUGUUGCUGAUAAUUUGUUUUUCAAAAUCAAGAAACUUUUAAGCUAUUUACAGCUUUUUAACAAUGGAGUAUACUCCUUUGAACAAAAUUUGGAGCAUAUUUGUUUUUAAAACUACCUGAUUUCUACAGAAUUUGGAAUCUAUUUGACAUGAGACUUCACAACCUUCUAAAAAGGAGCUUUCCUAAUAACUCAGGACCUACCUAUCUAGGAAUAAACCAUCCUAGCCAUGAGAGAUCAGACGAAACCUGAGGCCAGAGACUCAUUUUCUUCUAAAAUGCGUUCUCCAACAGAUUUUUAAAAAGAAAAGGGGGGAAAUGUGAAAGUAUUUUGGGCCCCUCAAAUCACUAAACUAAAGGAAAACUUCAAGUGGGGAACUGCUUAGGGUAAACCUGCCUCCCAUUCUGUUCAAAGUUAUCCCUCUGCUCACCAAGAUAAAUGCAUAUAUCAUUGCCUUCUGUGGAGAGGCUAAUUAGAAACUCAAAAAAAAUGCAACCAUUUGUCUCUUAUCUACCUAUGACCUGGAAGCCCCCUCCCUGCACCUUUCCAGACCGAACUAAUGUUCAUCUUACAUGUGUUGAUUGAUGUCUUAUAUCUCCCUAAAAUGUAUAAAACCAA